GCUCUCGUAGUUCAACGGAUAGAACACAAGUUUGCGGAACUUGCGAUAUAGGUUCGAUUCCUGUCGAGAGCA
rnacentral:tRNA from 1 species